AAUAAAGUAAUAUAUUAAUAUUAUAAAGUAUUGAAAAUGCUUAGAAGGGUUAUGGCCCCUUUAUU
rnacentral:tRNA from 1 species